rnacentral:misc_RNA from 1 species
GAUGAAGAACGUAGCGAAAUGCGAUAAGUAGUGUGAAUUGCAGAAUUCAGUGAAUCAUCGAAUCUUUGAACGCACAUUGCGCCCUCUGGUAUUCCGGAGGGCAUGCCUGUUCGAGCGUCAUUAAAACUACUCAAGCUAAGGUUUUACCUUCUGCUUGGUCUUGGGUUUGAGGAUUCAAAAUCCUCUCUCCGGAAUCCAGUGGCGAAUUGUUUGAGCUGUAGACGUAGUAAAUCAUUCUACCCGUUGCAAGCGAGAAUAAUAUUCAGCCAUAACCCCCAUACUUUUCUAGUUUGACCUCGGAUCAGGUAGGGAUACCCGCUGAACUUAAGCAUAUCAAUAAGCGGAGGA